rnacentral:rRNA from 1 species
ACGGUUGGAAACGACCGCUAAUACCCCAUAUGCCGAGAGGUGAAAUGAAUUUCGCCUGAGGAUGAGCCCGCGUCUGAUUAGCUAGUUGGUGAGGUAAGAGCUCACCAAGGCAUCGAUCAGUAGCUGGUCUGAGAGGAUGAUCAGCCACACUGGGACUGAAACACGGCCCAAACUCCUACGGGAGGCAGCAGUGGGGAAUUUUCCGCAAUGGGCGAAAGCCUGACGGAGCAACGCCGCGUGAGGGAUGAAGGCCUCUGGGCUGUAAACCUCUUUUAUCAAGGAAGAAGAUCUGACGGUACUUGAUGAAUAAGCCACGGCUAAUUCCGUGCCAGCAGCCGCGGUAAUACGGGAGUGGCAAGCGUUAUCCGGAAUUAUUGGGCGUAAAGCGUCCGCAGGCGGCCCUUCAAGUCUGCUGUUAAGAAGUGGAGCUUAACUCCAUCAUGGCAGUGGAAACUGUUGGGCUUGAGUGUGGUAGGGGCAGAGGGAAUUCCCGGUGUAGCGGUGAAAUGCGUAGAUAUCGGGAAGAACACCAGUGGCGAAGGCGCUCUGCUGGGCCAUCACUGACGCUCAUGGACGAAAGCCAGGGGAGCGAAAGGGAUUAGAUACCCCUGUAGUCCUGGCCGUAAACGAUGAACACUAGGUGUCGGGGGAAUCGACCCCUCCGGUGUCGUAGCCACCGCGUUAAGUGUUCCGCCUGGGGAGUACGCCCGCAAGUGUGAAACUCAAAGGAAUUGACGGGGGCCCCCACAAGCGGUGGAGUAUGUGGUUUAAUUCGAUGCAACGCGAAGAACCUUACCAGGGUUUGACAUCCUGCGAAUCUCUUGGAGAACGAGAGAGUGCCUUCGGGAGCGCAGUGACAGGUGGUGCAUGGCUGUUGUCAGCUCGUGUCGUGAGAUGUUGGGUUAAGUCCCGCAACGAGCGCCACCCACGUCUUUAGUUGCCAGCCUUUAGUUGGGCACUUUAGAGAGACCGCCGGUGAU